rnacentral:lncRNA from 1 species
AUGUUGUCUGGUAGUGUGGCCACAGCAUUGGGAGCCGGUAUCCCCACCUCCUUUGAGCCUGACAUUUCCAGUUUCUGCUGGUCUUUUUCCAGAUCGGCAUCCAGGUCAAUGAUGAGGUUCCCUACUCCAAUGUCCCAUUCAUCCCCACUGUGGUAUGUCUCAACCGGGUUUGCAUCCACUCCUUUCCCUCCUGAGGCUCCACUGCUUAAGGACAUCUUAGAGUCAACGUCCCACCUCAAGAUUCAAAGCUCUUCCUUGCCCCCAGGUUUCCUAUUUUCAGCUUCAGCUAUGUUCUCAGACCUGCCACAUUGGUCAGUACAUGCCCAGUGGAUAAUGUCAUUGCGCGCGGCUGGUCCCAGGAGCAGCCACCGCCGCCCGCCCGGGUCCCCGGGCAGAGCACCGCCGCCGCUGCCGCCCUGAGUCUAAAUUUUAUAAAUACUCUUUAAAGUAUCUGCUUACU